AGAUUGACGCUGGCGGAAUGCUUUACACAUGCAAGUCGAACGGCAGCACGGGGGGCAACCCUGGUGGCGAGUGGCGAACGGGUGAGUAAUACAUCGGAACGUGCCCAGUCGUGGGGGAUAACUACGCGAAAGCGUAGCUAAUACCGCAUACGAUCUACGGAUGAAAGCGGGGGAUCGCAAGACCUCGCGCGAUUGGAGCGGCCGAUGGCAGAUUAGGUAGUUGGUGGGGUAAAGGCUCACCAAGCCGUCGAUCUGUAGCUGGUCUGAGAGGACGACCAGCCACACUGGACUGAGACACGGCCCAGACU
rnacentral:rRNA from 1 species